rnacentral:rRNA from 1 species
GACGAACGCUGGCGGCGUGCCUAAUACAUGCAAGUCGAACGCUUCUUUCCUCCCGAGUGCUUGCACUCAAUUGGAAAGAGGAGUGGCGGACGGGUGAGUAACACGUGUGUAACCUACCCAUCAGAGGGGGAUAACACUUGGAAACAGGUGCUAAUACCGCAUAACAGUUUAUGCCGCAUGGCAUAAGAGUGAAAGGCGCUUUCGGGUGUCGUUGAUGGAUGGACCCGGGGUGCAUUAGCUAGUUGGUGAGGUAACGGCUCACCAAGGCCACGAUGCAUAGACGACCUGAGAGGGUGAUCGGCCACACUGGGACUGAGACACGGCCCAGACUCCUACGGGAGGCAGCAGUAGGGAAUCUUAGGCAAUGGACGAAAGUCUGACCGAACAACGCCGCGUGAGUGAAGAAGGUUUUCGGAUCGUAAAACUCUGUUGUUAGAGAAGAACAAGGACGUUAGUAACUGAACGUCCCCUGACGGUAUCUAACAAGAAAGCAACGGCUAACUACGUG